GGGCCCGCACAAGCGGUGGAGCAUGUGGUUUAAUUCGAUGCAACGCGAAGAACCUUACCAGGCCUUGACAUCCUCGGAACUUUCUAGAGAUAGAUUGGUGCCUUCGGGAACCGAGUGACAGGUGCUGCAUGGCUGUCGUCAGCUCGUGUUGUGAAAUGUUGGGGUUAAGUCCCGCAACGAGCGCAACCCUUAUCCUUGUUUGCCAGCGAGUAAUGUCGGGAACUCCAGGGAGACUGCCGGUGAUAAACCGGAGGAAGGUGGGGACGACGUCAAGUCAUCAUGGCCCUUACGAGUAGGGCUACACACGUGCUACAAUGGCGCAUACAGAGGGCGGCCAACUUGCGAAAGUGAGCGAA
rnacentral:rRNA from 1 species